AGCCGGGUACUAAAAAUAUUCUUCGAUAUUGUUUUGCAUUAUACAAAAGUAAAGUUUUUUAUUUUUAAAGACAUUCAACAAAGUUUCCUUCAUAUCAAAGUUUUUCUUGCAAAUUUGUCCAUUGUGUUUACAUAUUAUGUAGCAACAAUAAUUCUCACUACAAUAUGACAUCCUUAUUGGUUUAUUAUGCUAUCUGAAAUGUCACAAGCUCUCUAUUAAUCUUCCGUUAGUAAAUAUCCUUUUUUUAUGGUGUUAAACGACGAUUACAGGCCCCUCCGUAUAAAAUCUACGUUUAAUAUGUUAUACUUCGAUGAUUAUCCCAAUUACUUAUUGUAAUCAAUUAUAUAAAGAAAA
rnacentral:lncRNA from 1 species